UACCGAUCCAGUGGUCUAUGUGAUAGAGCGUCUGCUUCAGAUGCAGAAGGUCGCGGGUUCGAACCCCAGCCUAGGUAU